UUUGAACCAAGGUUUGUCCAAUUUAACAUUGGCCUUUGUUUCCGUGUGUGUGGGGAGGUGAGGGGGUGUCUACAUGCAUGUCUACAUGUUCAUGCUUGUGUGUAAACCAAAGGAUAGCCUUGGGUGUUGUCCUCAGAUACUGUCUAUGUGUGUGUCAGAGGGCAUGGAGAUGGGGGCACAGGGACUGGCUCUCACUGGUCUGACACCAAGUAGGUGAGUAGGCUGGCUAGCCAGGGAGUCCUGGGAUCUUUCUGUGCCCAUAUCCCUGGCUCUGGGAUUAUAAUCACAUACUUCCAUGCCUGGCUUAUUAAGCAUGAGUUCUUUUGGCUUGCAAGACACAUGCUUAACCAAAUGAGCCCACCCCCCAAGCCUCUUUAUAUCACCAUGGUCUGUGUCUCCUUAAAGGUUUUUUGAGACUCAGCUCAGUACUCCUUCCUCAACUUGCCACGCCCCUUUCUGAAAUAUGUAUCCCUCAACAUAUUAACAUGGCGCUAGGUGAGUAAAUCAGGGAGAAAUCAGGGCAUGCUACAUGCAGUCAAUGCAAGUGCCCAUUUGCAUAGUGGCUGAUGGCAUUAACAUUCACCACCUGCCACACCAGCCACCAUUCUAUCAGAUCCUGUAGCAAAUACCUGAGAAUUUGCAAAAGAGGCCAUUCAGCAUGAACAUUUUAAAGGAACUAACUCAUAUUUUGCUAAUUAGAAGAAGAAGAAGAAGAAGAAGAAGAAGAAGAAGAAGAAGAAGAAGAAGAAGAAGAAGAAGAAGAAGAAGAAGAAGAAAGACAAGACACCUAGCUCCAUUAUUAUCAUAUAUUGCGAUUCUAGAGGUCUGGACUCUGGUCCCCAGGUUUGAGAGAAAAUUGAAAAACAUACUAAAACAAGUUUCCAGCUAGCCAUAAACGUAUUUCACCAUCAGUCUGUCUGCUGCCUUUGCUACCUGCUUUUGAGAGAGGACCGAAGCUGGCUCUUCCCAGAGGGAUGAAGUCCAUUGCCAACAGUGCUCUGAUCAUGGACACGCCCACGGAAACCGUGGGAUCCUGUAGCGAUUUCUACAGAGCAGGCAGACUGGCCGGCUUUGUCCAGGCCAGGCUCCGAAGCUGAAUUCCACGUGGCUCAGAUUUGCUUUACCAUUUCCAGAAAAGUCAAGGGAACAUUUACAUAAGGGUUUCUCUUAUUUUCAGCCUCUUCUGACCCCAAAUCUCCCCAGUCUCCCCUUUUCUCACUCGACAUCAGCCACAGGCUACACUUGAGUUCCUCAAAGCUGACAGCUGUUCCCAGAUGACAAGAUCUUUCCCUGCUGUGCCCUCUCCAGUCCAGGGAAAUAUGGGGCUCACUUCAUCGUAUUUCUGUCUCUGUUCCAGUCACCUUCUUUGAGAGAGGGCUCCCAGACUGCCCUGCCUAAAUAAUAUGUCUCUUCACCAUUCUAGUGUAGCGCUUUGCUGUUAGCAAUUAUUCAGGGACAAGAGCUGUAUUCUUGCCAUGUGUCAGCUUGGCUUUAUUUACUACAGUUCCUUGAAUACAAGGGUUAUAUUUAUAUGCAUAUGUAUAUGUUUAUAUAU